ACAUGCAGUCGAACGCGUUGGCCCAAUUGAUUGAUGGUGCUUGCACCUGAUUGAUUUUGGUCGCCAACGAGUGGCGGACGGGUGAGUAACACGUAGGUAACCUGCCCAGAAGCGGGGGACAACAUUUGGAAACAGAUGCUAAUACCGCAUAACAGCGUUGUUCGCAUGAACAACGCUUAAAAGAUGGCUUCUCGCUAUCACUUCUGGAUGGACCUGCGGUGCAUUAGCUUGUUGGUGGGGUAACGGCCUACCAAGGCGAUGAUGCAUAGCCGAGUUGAGAGACUGAUCGGCCACAAUGGGACUGAGACACGGCCCAUACUCCUACGGGAGGCAGCAGUAGGGAAUCUUCCACAAUGGGCGCAAGCCUGAUGGAGCAACACCGCGUGAGUGAAGAAGGGUUUCGGCUCGUAAAGCUCUGUUGUUAAAGAAGAACACGUAUGAGAGUAACUGUUCAUACGUUGACGGUAUUUAACCAGAAAGUCACGGCUAACUACGUGCCAGCAGCCGCGGUAAUACGUAGGUGGCAAGCGUUAUCCGGAUUUAUUGGGCGUAAAGAGAGUGCAGGCGGUUUUCUAAGUCUGAUGUGAAAGCCUUCGGCUUAACCGGAGAAGUGCAUCGGAAACUGGAUAACUUGAGUGCAGAAGAGGGUAGUGGAACUCCAUGUGUAGCGGUGGAAUGCGUAGAUAUAUGGAAGAACACCAGUGGCGAAGGCGGCUACCUGGUCUGCAACUGACGCUGAGACUCGAAAGCAUGGGUAGCGAACAGGAUUAGAUACCCUGGUAGUCCAUGCCGUAAACGAUGAGUGCUAGGUGUUGGAGGGUUUCCGCCCUUCAGUGCCGGAGCUAACGCAUUAAGCACUCCGCCUGGGGAGUACGACCGCAAGGUUGAAACUCAAAGGAAUUGACGGGGGCCCGCACAAGCGGUGGAGCAUGUGGUUUAAUUCGAAGCUACGCGAAGAACCUUACCAGGUCUUGACAUCUUGCGCCAACCCUAGAGAUAGGGCGUUUCCUUCGGGAACGCAAUGACAGGUGGUGCAUGGUCGUCGUCAGCUCGUGUCGUGAGAUGUUGGGUUAAGUCCCGCAACGAGCGCAACCCUUGUUACUAGUUGCCAGCAUUAAGUUGGGCACUCUAGUGAGACUGCCGGUGACAAACCGGAGGAAGGUGGGGACGACGUCAGAUCAUCAUGCCCCUUAUGACCUGGGCUACACACGUGCUACAAUGGACGGUACAACGAGUCGCGAACUCGCGAGGGCAAGCAAAUCUCUUAAAACCGUUCUCAGUUCGGACUGCAGGCUGCAACUCGCCUGCACGAAGUCGGAAUCGCUAGUAAUCGCGGAUCAGCAUGCCGCGGUGAAUACGUUCCCGGGCCUUGUACACACCGCCCGUCACACCAUGAGAGUUUGUAACACCCAAAGUCGGUGGGGUAACCUUUAGGAGCCAG
rnacentral:rRNA from 1 species